rnacentral:rRNA from 1 species
UCUCAUAACUCGAUAAUCCACGUAUACUCAACCUUCUCUCGAUUAUACAGCAUGUAUACUGCCGUUGUAAGCAUACCUUUAAAAGAAUAGUAUGCUUCUAUGACCAAAUAAUUGACUCAUAUACAUCAGGUCAAAGUGCAGCUAAUAAGAAGGUGAUGAUGGGUUACAACCCCAAAUAAGGAUAUCAAUUAAGAAAUAAAAAAUCUUACAAAAGUGGACUUGACUGUAAUCAAUUUAUAGGGCAAUAAAAUGAACUAAAUCUAAGACAUGUACACAUCGCCCGUCACUCUACCCUAAAGGCUAGAUAAGUCGUAACAAAGUAGGUGUAAUGGAAAUUGCACCUGUCGAAGUAUAGCAUAUAAAAUGCUUUUUACUUACACUAAAAAUAAAGUUAAAUAACUUGCUUCGCUCACUUAUUAUAAUCUUACAAUUUACAAAAUAAUAGAAACAACUAAAUAAAUUUAAUAACUAAUAAAGUACAGAAAUGGAAAUAUUAACAAAUAAAAGUAACUUUUAAUAACUGUACCUUGUGCAUUAUGGUUUUACAAGAAAAUAAUUUAAAAUAAAAAUCCCGAAUUCUAAAUGAGAUGUUAAACUGCUGUUAUGAACCCAUUAAUAACUGUGGAAAAAGCUUUAAAAGACAGUUUAACAGAGGCUACAUACCAUCCGCAUAAGAAUAUAGCUGGUUUUCAACAAACAUUAUACAUUAAAACAUAUAAUUAUAUUAUAGUGUUAUAUUACUGAGGACAAGCCCAGUAAUUAAAGCAAUUAAUAAAAACAAUUCCGUUAUACUAUAUAGGCCUAAAAUCAGCCAGCUAUAAUACUUUACCGUAUUACACACUGAUAUAAUAAAUAUAUUAUGUCUAUGCCCUAAAAAGUUGAAAUAAUGAAUUAACCACAAAAUUCACCUAUAAUAUGUAAAAAUAAGUAUUAUAAAAUACAAAACAUAAAGAUCUAGUAAUUAACAACACAUAAAUAACAAUAAUUAACUAAGGAACUCGGCAAACCAUUAUUUCGACUGUUUAACAAAAACAUUGUCUCAUGAAAUAAAUAUGAGAUAAUACCUG